UGAUCCACUUGCCCCAGACCUGAGGUCUCACUCUAAGCAGAGAGACACGGCCACUGGCGCUGCUGCAGAGGAAGUGCAUGACUGAAUCUACGGCCUAAAGUCUUAGAGACAGAGAGGAAGAGAGAGGGAGAUGAGCUGUGUCAGAGUCCAGUCUUGCUCUGGGACGGUAGACUGACUGAAGCUGCCGGUAAAGCACUGAGUUUUCACAGCUGUGCAUCUCCGUCACUCUGGAGUCAUGAGCUCAAAGGGGACGAACCUCCACAACAAACGUCUUCCGUCGGAGACAGAACAUACACAAAGAGUCCCAGACACAGAGUCUGCCCAGCAAAUGAGGCUGAGAGAGAGACAACGAUUCUUUGAGGAGGUGUUUCAACAUGAUGUGGACGUCUACCUCUCCUCUGCACACCUGCAGAUAGAUUAUAAGAGACCUCCCUUAGGAAGCAUCUCAUCAAUGGAGGUGAACGUCGAUAUGCUAGAACAGAUGGACCUGAUGGACAUCUCUGAUCAGGAGACCUUGGAUGUCUUCUUCAGCGCCAGCGGAGAGGAAGGAGGACUGACAUCUCCUCUUCCAGCGCUUGGUCACACUGAAAUAGAAGAGGAUGGAUUGCGGAGAAGUGACGUGUCCUUGAGAAUUUCUGACACUUGUGAGAUCAAAACACGUAUGUUGUCCACUUCUUCCAACUCCACCUGUGACAGUCAGGCCUCCAAUGAGGACGGAUCAAACACUCCUGUCGUCCAAUCAGAUGAUGAAGACGUGCAAGAAGAUAGCCUGUUGCAAACAGGAGUGCGCACAGCCAACAAUGCCGCAAAAGAGCCCCUGCCCUCUGCCCUCUCAUUAUAACCUGCCUUCCUAUUUAUUACUGACAGUUUGGAAAGUGUUUCAGGGUUGGGUUGAGUGGUUUUAGCCAUAAAUCAAUCUACCAAAGACCUUCAUGAAAGCUUGCGAAGUUCAACGCAUUCAAGGCCCCUAUUACGCCACACUGGGAGUGUCAUGCUUCGACAGACCUGCAUUUUUGUAUUAUCACUUGCAUUUCAUCAACAUUUUACUAUAUCUUUCGCUGUUUUUGGGAAAAAAAAUAUCUGCAGGUAUAGUGACACCACAUACACACCACCAGUAUUUUGCAAUUUUCUUCACGAAGAUUGAAGCUGAUCUGUAGAGAGACCAAAGGCAUCAUUUUUUUUAAAUUAAAACUGCUGAGGUGAGUUUCACAAAAAUAUUUCACCUCAAAUAUCAAAAGAAAACAAAAUAUUAAAAAAUAAACUUCUCGUUUACACCAUUAAAAAGCCAGUUCACAUUUUCAUUUUUGGUUUCAUAAUUUCAUAAUGAAUAAUUUAAUCAUAUUCAUUUUUGGUAGAACUACAGUAUCCGUAUAAGUAUAUAUUUUUUGGCAUCUUGGCAUUAUUUUAAAUUCAUGCAUUUAGUUGACACUCUUUUCCAGAGUGUCUGUUGCAUUGAAUAUAUGCAUUUUAUCAGUUUAUCCAUUUCCUGGGAAUUGAACCAUGAUCUUGACAUUGUUAGCACCAUGGUCAUGCUCUACUUUUUCCCCUUUUCUUUUCUUUGUAAUUUUUGUGAAUCUUAAUGUGUGAUUCUCAUUAAAUUAUUACUGCAUUUUUUGUUAUUACAAUAAACAUGUUUUUUAAAUUUAAAUCAACAAAAAAGGCAAUACAACAAAUACUAGCAUGGUGUACAAAUACAGUAUUAAUACAGUAUAAUAAAUUCUUAAUGAGAAUUUAAGAAGAAAUGUGCUUACUUGUUAUGAAAAUAAUGUCACAAUGCAAAAAAACCUUAAUGGGCAUUCAUUUUAUUUGAAUGGUUUGCCUUUAUUUACAAGAGAGUAAACAAUAAAGUAGGGGUGAGAGGAUGGGGAAUGGACCCAUAAUUGAACCUGGGUACUAUGAGCUCACUGUCAUGUCAUGACCUGUAAGCGUUUUCACUGAAAGAAGAUGCAACUGCACUGAUAGACUUCAUUUUCUUUAAGCAAAAUAUAAUUUUUUACCUCUGUUGGUUGUGUAUUUUUUUUUUUUUUUAAAUUGUCAGAAUUGUAGCUUUCUUCUUCUUCUUCUUUUGAUCAUGUGCUGAGGAUAUGUCUUCCUCUCUGAUGUCAACAACACCUUAUGCUUUGCUAUCAAAAUAAAGCCAAAUGCCAGUAAAAAGUA